GAGGGAUGGGGGGAAAGCCAGCGGGAGGACAGGUGAGACAGCAGGACAGGACCGGAGCAGGGCCCCAAGCCCCCGGGCCCGGCGGGGGACGCGCUUCUCUCCACACCCUGUGCUUCAGCAGUUCCGGCCGGCGGACCCAAAGGCGGAGAGG